UUACAUAGUCGAUUGGCUCCCGCUUCGUUUUUACCCAACAUGUGUCGAUUUCUUCAUCUCGAAGGGUUUUUAGAAUCCUCCAAUUGAUUUGAUAUUGAAUGUUCAUUUGUAAGGUAUAAUCACGAUAGUACAUCAUUGGCAGUGGU